AGAGUUUGAUCAUGGCUCAGAGCGGACGCUGGCGGUAUGCUUAACACAUGCAAGUCGAACGGAUGUUUUCGGACAUUAGUGGCGGACGGGUGAGUAACGCGUGAGAAUCUAGCUUCAGGUUGGGGACAACAGUUGGAAACGACUGCUAAUACCGAAUGUGCCGAAAGGUGAAAGAUUUAUUGCCUGAAGAAGAGCUCGCGUCUGAUUAGCUAGUUGGUGGGGUAAGAGCUUACCAAGGCGACGAUCGGUAGCUGGUCUGAGAGGACGAUCAGCCACACUGGGACUGAGACACGGCCCAGACUCCUACGGGAGGCAGCAGUGGGGAAUUUUCCGCAAUGGGCGAAAGCCUGACGGAGCAAUACCGCGUGAGGGAAGAAGGCUCUUGGGUUGUAAACCUCUUUUCUGAGGGAAGAAAAAAAUGACGGUACCUCAGGAAUCAGCAUCGGCUAACUCCGUGCCAGCAGCCGCGGUAAUACGGAGGAUGCAAGCSUUAUCCGGAAUGAUUGGSCGUAAAGCGUCCGCAGUGGCAAUUCAAGUCUGCGGUUAAAGGUUCUGGCUCAACCAGAGACAGGCCGUGGAAACUGAAUAGCUAGAGUAUGGUAGGGGCAGAGGGAAUUCCCAGUGUAGCGGUGAAAUGCGUAGAGAUUGGGAAGAACACCGGUGGCGAAACGCUCUGCUAGGCCAAAACUGACACUGAGGGACGAAAGCUAGGGGAGCGAAUGG
rnacentral:rRNA from 1 species